rnacentral:misc_RNA from 1 species
AGCAGCCGCGGUAAUUCCAGCUCCAAUAGCGUAUAUUAAAGUUGUUGCAGUUAAAAGCUCGUAGUUGAAUUUCGGAAUCUGUCCAUCGGUCGGGCUUCACUGUCCGUACUGGUGUGGUGGGUUCUUACCUUCUGAAUAACCAGCAUGCCAUUCACUUGGUGCGCUGGGGAAGCAGGACUAUUACCUUGAAAAAUUGAGUGCUCAAAGCAGGCUAGUGCCUGAAUACAUUAGCAUGGAAUAAUAAAAUAGGACGGCAUGGUUUUAUUUUGUUGGUUUCUAGGAUCACCGUAAUGAUUAAUAGGGAUAGUUGGGGGCAUUAGUAUUCAAUUGUCAGAGGUGAAAUUCUUGGAUUUAUUGAAGACUAACUUCUGCGAAAGCAUUUGCCAAGGAUGUUUUCAUUAAUCAAGAACGAAAGUUAGGGAUCGAAGACGAUCAGAUACCGUCUAGUCUUAACCAUUAAACUAUGCCGACUAGGGAUCGGGAUGAUUGUUAAUUUUAUAAUUGUA